UUCCCCUCGCCUGCAACUCCCCCCGGGGCGGCACUUUAUUUGCAAAGCAGCGUAAUUGGUUUAGGCUUGUGGGGAAAGAAGGAGAGACAGAGAAACCACGUGAGUCACCGUGCUGAGACAUAACACUACAGGUUCUCAAUAAAUACGAACAGAGGCCUGAAUGCGGAUCCACUGAUAUUAACCUCCACUUGGCAAACAUCAGGGCGAGCUUUUAGUGCAACCUGGAGAAUAUGCAGGCUGAGGUGAGCUCUGCUUUGACCGACUAGAUGGCAUCAGGGUCUCAGCCCUUUGCUCCGCCAGCGUGCUCUACCAAGGCUGCAAACAUAAAAGCUGACCUAGAAAAAUAUGGAAAUAUGUGUGUGGAGCAGGGGCAGGACUUCCAGGGAAGACCGUGUUAUCAGCACUGUCAGGAAGAGCUGGGCCCCGCAAAGGCCACUCAGCAAGCGCCUGGGUUUUGGGAAUCUCGUCGCCUCUGGACAGGCCGAGUGGCCUCGCCCCUGGGAAGGGGCUUCCCGCAGCUGCUCGAGGA